UUGCAGCCAUCUCAUGUUGAAACAUUGGUUCCUGUAUGAUCACUGAAGUUAAGCAACGUUGAGCCUGGUCAGUACCUAGAGGGUGACUGUUUGAGAAUACCAGGUGU
rnacentral:rRNA from 1 species